GCUGGUAUACGAUGCCUCUCCAGAAUCACCUUGUUCUUUCUGGAUCUAUUCAGAAUCUGAAACUCCUAGAAAAGAAAAAUGCAAGAUGCAUGAGUGUUGAUGUCUGACCAAACUCCAGGGUAGUGGAAAGAGUGUCCUUUUGCCUCAUAUCACCUUUGCUGAACACAGGUGCUAAAUGGAUGGCAGGUUGAGAGUUGAGACAGGAUCUCACUAUGUUGCCUUGCAUGGACUGGAACUCCUUGGCUCAAGAAAUCUUCUUGCCUCAGCCUCCCAAAUAGCUAGGACUAUAUGCACAUGCUACUACACCUAGUGGAAAAUGAAGCACAGAGAAGUUCAGUGAUGGACCUCAGAUACUACCAGCAGAAAGCAGAAGAGCUAGGAUUUCAACUUAGGAUGUCUGGAUCCACAGUCUGCACUCCUACCCACUAUGCUACACUGCCUCUAACUAUGAGGAAGCAAGGGCAUUUUUUUUUUUCUGGUGACUAAAAAGAUAAGAGUUCAAGUAUGUGGCUCCUGAUAAUCUAACUUAUACAGCCUGGAAAAAUUGAUAGUUACUAUAUCCAGACUGUCUCAUUCAAUUAACAGUUUCUCAAGUAAUCUUCUAGUUACUGUCGUAUUUUAUCUGUAUCAACUUAGCAAACCAAGUCCAAAACAUUUUAUAUGUGUCUAUCUUUCCUGCUGUUCAUAUUAUUGAGUUAGCCAAAUAAAUUCAAUUUUUUUUCUACUGUUUGUUUCUCACAAAUUAUGACUGGCAUCUGUAUAUCUGGGAAGGUUCUACUGCAUUGCUGUAUUAUCACUAUAUAAUUAUAAGAGAUCACAGAGUGCAUUGAUGAAGGCCAUGUUGAGACAUGAUGAAACAGGGUCCAUUGUGACUGGGUGAAACUGUCUUCAAUUUCCUGGUCUAUAAAGCAGAGAAUCUGUAGCUCACAGAAUGGCUGGUAGCACCCACCAGGAUCUGGGACAUUCAGCCUGAGAAAUAAAAAACUCAUCAGGAUCUGUGAAAGACAUGAAGACAGAAAUAGUACUAGAAGAAAGAAAAUGCUUAGAAGUCAUAUGCAGCAAUAAAGAACUUGGCUUGAGAGGUCAUUCCAAGAUGGUCGAAUA
rnacentral:lncRNA from 10 species